GAGAUUGUUGAUAUAAUGGGAACGAGAAUCUAUUGAAGGGUGUGGCGGGCAAUUUUGAAGUGAUGUCACUACACAAGCAAUAUAAAUUAAUACAUAAAUCAAUAUAAAUCAAAAUGCUCUAUAAUUUAAUAACAAGAGGUUAUAUCUAAAUUAGCAUUAUGGAUGUAUUUUAUUUCAUAUUGGGCGAAGAUAAUAAAACGUUAGAAUCAAUUUCGUUAACGAGAGGAUAAAAAAACUUGUAUAAAUGAAGGUUAUACGAAACGAGGAGAGGAGAAAGGGAACAUGGCAAAGUAUAUAAUGAUACUCCGAUCGUACACCAUACUCCGAAUGUAUAUACGUACGCAUAAAUAUAUCGGUGUGUUAGUAAACAAGGGCUUCUUCUGACGUCACGAAAAGCAAUUGGAGCACGAGGAGAGUAAACGUGUUCACGUGGCUCUUGCGGACGAUAAAUACGUUUAUAUAAGCAGAAAUGAUCUGCCAGAUGAACAUUGUGGCGGAAAUUCUCCGACCGCCUAAUAAGACGUAAUUUAAAUUAAACCGAUAUCUAUCUUUGAAAGGAGCUAACAAUUUCUAUUUCGCUGAUUGAACGUUUCUGAGCUUAAUAUAGGCCCUACUAUAAAUAUAUAGGCCAUGUAUUUUGUCCCUCGGUCAUAUAACUUAAUCAUAAAUACAUUAUUCUAUUAAUUGCUUAACAAUAUGUUUAAUUGAAGUGAAGAUCUAUACGUAUAUAAGAAUUUUCCGAAUGCAUGAUUUAACUCUUUUAACUCGUAUGUCACGCUGGAAGUGAUUAUGAAAUUUUAAAAUUAAUCUGUUAUAAAGUUCGUACGUCAUCAUCUGAGAUAACAAUAAAUAUUUAUCAUUUACUAUUGUGGAAUA